rnacentral:rRNA from 1 species
GACGUAGGAUGCGAGCGUUAUUCGGGAUUUAUUGGGCGUAAAGCGUGCGUAGGCGGCUGUUUAAGGUCUGGUGUUAAAGCUAGGGGGCUCAACCCCUGUGAUGCACUGGAAACUGGGCAGCUUGAGUGCGGUAGGGGAAGGUGGAAUUCCGAGUGUAGCGGUGAAAUGCGUAGAUAUUCGGAAGAACACCGGUGGCGAAGGCGGGUCUCUGGGCCGUAACUGACGCUGGAGGAGCGAAAGCAUGGGGAGCGAACAGG